GGGCAGGUUAACUGGCAGUUCCACGAAGCACUGAAAGCAGAUUACUUCCGGUAGGAAGCUAUCUUUGACUGAGUGGCGGACGGGUGAGUAACGCGUGGGUAACCUGCCUCAUACAGGGGGAUAACAGUUAGAAAUGACUGCUAAUACCGCAUAAGCGCACGGGACUGCAUGGUCCAGUGUGAAAAACUCCGGUGGUAUGAGAUGGACCCGCGUCUGAUUAGCUAGUUGGUGGGGUAAGGGCUCACCAAGGCGACGAUCAGUAGCCGGCCUGAGAGGGUGACCGGCCACAUUGGGACUGAGACACGGCCCAGACUCCUACGGGAGGCAGCAGUGGGGGAUAUUGCACAAUGGGGGAAACCCUGAUGCAGCGAUGCCGCGUGAGUGAAGACGGCCUUCGGGUUGUAAAGCUCUGUCGCAGGGGACGAAAAUGACGGUACCCUGCAAGAAAGCUCCGGCUAACUACGUGCCAGCAGCCGCGGUAAUACGUAGGGAGCAAGCGUUGUCCGGAAUUACUGGGUGUAAAGGGAGCGUAGGCGGGAGGAUAAGUUGAAUGUGAAAUCCAUGGGCUCAACCCAUGGCUGCGUUCAAAACUGUUCUUCUUGAGUGAAGUAGAGGCAGGCGGAAUUCCUAGUGUAGCGGUGAAAUGCGUAGAUGUUAGGAGGAACACCAGUGGCGAAGGCGGCCUGCUGGGCUUUUACUGACGCUGAGGCUCGAAAGCGUGGGUAGCAAACAGGAUUAGAUACCCUGGUAGUCCACGCGGUAAACGAUGAUUACUAGGUGUGGGUGGACUGACCCCAUCCGUGCCGGAGUUAACACAAUAAGUAAUCCACCUGGGGAGUACGGCCGCAAGGUUGAAACUCAAAGGGAUUGACGGGGGGCCGCACAAGCAUUGGAGUAUGUGGUUUAAUUCGACGCAACGCGAAAAAACUUACCAGGGUCUUGACUCCAAG
rnacentral:rRNA from 1 species